UACGUAGGGAGCAAGCGUUGUCCGGAAUCAUUGGGCGUAAAGCGCGCGUAGGCGGCCUCAUAAGUCCGUUGUGAAAGUCAAAGGCUCAACCUUUGAAAGCCGAUGGAUACUGUGAGGCUAGAGUACGGAAGAGGCGAGUGGAAUUCCUGGUGUAGCGGUGGAAUGCGCAGAUAUCAGGAGGAACACCAAUAGCGAAGGCAGCUCGCUGGGACGUUACUGACGCUAAGGCGCGAAAGCGUGGGGAGCAAACAGG
rnacentral:rRNA from 1 species